UAAAUCCUUUAACGAGGAUCUAUUGGAGGGCAAGUCUGGUGCCAGCAGCCGCGGUAAUUCCAGCUCCAAUAGCGUAUAUUAAAGUUGUUGCGGUUAAAAAGCUCGUAGUUGGUUCUGCGUGCCACGCUGUCGGUUCACCGCCUGUCGGUGCAACUGGCAUGUCGUGGCAUGUCCUGCCGGUGGCGGAUAGGCUUCGCGGCGCUCCCUACACGAUACGUCAUGUAGGUCGUCGCGUCGUCCUUGUACGCCGACUCAAUCCUACCGCGGUGCUCUUUACCGAGUGUCGAGGUAGGCCGGCACAUUUUACUUUGAACAAAUUAGAGUGCUUAAAGCAGGCUCUUAAAUCAGCCUGAAUAGUGGUGCAUGGAAUAAUGGAACAGGACCUUGGUUCUAUUUUGUUGGUUUUAGGAAUCCAAGGUAAUGAUCAAUAAGGACAGGCGGGGGCAUUCGUAUUGCGACGUUAGAGGUGAAAUUCUUGGAUCGUCGCAAGACGCACUAGAGCGAAAGCAUUUGCCAAGUAUGUCUUAAUUGAUCAAGAACGAAAGUUAGAGGUUCGAAGGCGAUCAGAUACCGCCCUAGUUC
rnacentral:rRNA from 1 species